GGGGAUGUAAAGGUUUCGACGGGGAGAGGAAAGCGAGAGCAGCGGGUAGUGUUCGGGGGACACACUUUAAACUCCUCCAAAAAAAUAGCUAACAACAAUAAAUUAGCUGUCGCUGCCUAAUUAUAGGCGGCUGUCCUGCCCACUCCGGCACCGUGUGGGGCCAGGGCAUCAUUGAGGUGCCGUACGUGAACAGCCCUAAGCUUUGCAGGCUGUCAUGACUGAAUGAAGCUACCAAUGCACCAGCGCGUUUAUCCGCUUGAUGCAAAGGGAAUGUUGUAGAUAAACUGCACCCGGAGAUACUAGCGUGGACCUCUUUUCGGACACGGGUUCGACUCCCGUCAUCUCCACCA
rnacentral:tmRNA from 1 species